UGUUAUAGCAGCACAAAUGGACUAAGACAAUAUGCAUGCUGCUACUGGGAUGUCUUUUCUCCUAGAUCCUCAUAGCUGAAGGAGGAAGGAAAUACAUGUGUGUGUACUAGUACAUCCAGAGGCAUGGAGAGAAUUUUCUUGAUUUUCCAUCAUAAGAACCUGAGAGGUUCCUAAGGUAAAACUCACCAAAAUGUGCCCUUACCCCUGAAGACUGCAAUUCCUAGAACUUUAUCACUCUCACAUCAGUCCUCAUUCUACCACCGACAAUUCAUCAAAACUACUAUUUAAGCAUUCUUACCAGUUCACAGUUCCAGUGGUUUCUAUUUUAGGGACUAGAGUAGCAGUCACAGAAUCUUAAGCAAGAAUAGAUCAUCUAUGGAAACAAUAAUUUUUACAGAAGUACAAGGCUGCCAAGAAAUAUGAAAUUCAACAAGCAAAGAUGCUCUGCUGCAAAAACCUUCCUGUAAGAGCAAGAAUGAUCACCUUCAGAAACUAUGCUCAAGACCACUCCAACUGCAGAGGAAUUGUAUGCAGAAAGGCAUUCUCUCUCAGACUUAAAGCCUGAUGUUGAGUAAAGCAAAUUAUAUUCCAAUGGAAGUAUUUUAGCACUUUU